rnacentral:rRNA from 1 species
GCCUUGCCAGCCCGCUCAGAAACUCAAAGGAAUUGACGGGGGCCCGCACAAGCGGUGGAGCAUGCGGUUUAAUUCGAUGAUACGCGAGGAACCUUACCUGGGCUCAAAUGUAUGUUGACGUAUUCUGAAAGGGAUACUUCUUCGGACAAUAUACAAGGUGCUGCAUGGUUGUCGUCAGCUCGUGCCGUGAGGUGUCGGGUUAAGUCCCAUAACGAGCGCAACCCCUAUCAUUAGUUGCCAUCAGGUCAAGCUGGGGACUCUAAUGAAACUGCCUACGCAAGUAGUGAGGAAGGUGGGGAUGACGUCAAAUCAGCACGGCCCUUACGUCCAGGGCUACACACGUGCUACAAUGGUCGGUACAAAGGGUUGCCAAGCCGCGAGGUGGAGCUAAUCCCAUAAACCGAUCGUAGUCCGGAUCGCAGUCUGCAACUCGACUGCGUGAAGUCGGAAUCGCUAGUAAUCGUGAAUCAGAAUGUCACGGUGAAUACGUUCCCGGGCCUU